rnacentral:SRP_RNA from 1 species
GCAAGGUACCGGGGGUUCGAAUCCCCCCCUCUCCGCCAGUUUUACAUUUCCCCCAACGGUAUUGAUUGCCGACAGAAGUGACAGCCGGGUCCCGCGCAACGGACGGUCGUGAACCCCGUCAGGCCCGGAAGGGAGCAGCGGUAAUGGCCUCAGCCGUGUGCCGCGGGGGUGCCUGGCUGUCACUUGUGCCGGCAAUUUUUAUUUGC